UAAAACCUAUUUAUAAUGGCGGCAUUUCAUCUUAUUAGAGGAACCUGUUUUUUAAUCGAUAAUCCACGUUAAAUUUUACUUAAAUUAAAAAUUUAUAUAUCGCCAUCUAAAAAAUUAAUUUAAUAAUAAUUUUUUUAAAAAAAAAUAAAAAGUUAGGUCAAGGUGUAAUCUACAUUUAAGUAAAUAAUGGGUUACAUUAAAAUAAAUUUAAGGAUUUUAUUAUAAAAAUUCUAUUUAAAAAAGGAUUUAAAAGUAAUUUUUAAAUAAUAUUUUAUAAUG
rnacentral:rRNA from 1 species